GCCAGUACUUGUGUUAAAACGUGUGAAUAAUUAGUUGUAUCCGUUUCCUAUUCAUUGGUAAUUAGUAUUGUCUUGUUAGUAAAAAGCUAAAACAAAUGUUCAUCCGAAGGUACUAAGACAGUGUCCGCAUCAACUUCACAAAUAUUACACGAUGGUCUUGAAGUACAUAUUCAGGUACUGAUGUUGUUUAUCAUGGUGUGAUUUUAUUUUUCUUUGUUUAUUUGUUACUUUUAAUAUUUUUGGUUAAGUGUCCAAUUAUCGUGACUCAAUACUAAUACACCUUGUAUCUGCGUUGUUCAGCUUAGAUAAAUUUGUGCGUUCUUGUCAUUUGUGUGUGCUAAUUAAGGUCUUUCCCCUACGUGAGGAAAGACCUUAUUGUUUUUCUAAUGUUUUCUUUUUCUUUUUCUUUUUUUUUCUUUUUCUUUUUUUUCUUCUAACAUUUUUUAAAAAAAAAGGCCUCAAUACGUUAUUGUUGAAGAUAUCAAGACCAAAUAUGGACCAUCGAUAGACCUCAUCAAAAAGUAUUAUCAGAUGACCCUGUUAAUGAUUUCAUAAUCCCCUUUAGAAGUUAUCUCUCUUUUAUUAGAUUUUUUC
rnacentral:lncRNA from 1 species